GAGUAAUAUAUCGGAACGUGUCCAAUAAUGGGGGAUAAUGAGUCGAAAGAUUCGCUAAUACCGCAUACGCCCUACGGGGGAAAGCAGGGGAUCGUAAGACCUUGCGUUAAUGGAGCGGCCGAUAUCUGAUUAGCUUGUUGGUGAGGUAAAGGCUCACCAGGGCGACGAUCAGUAGCUGGUUUGAGAGAACGACCAGCCACACUGGAACUGAGACACGGUCCAGACUCCUACGGGAGGCAGCAGUGGGGAAUUUUGGACAAUGGGGGCAACCCUGAUCCAGCCAUUCCGCGUGAGUGAAGAAGGCCUUCGGGUUGUAAAGCUCUUUCGCAAGGGAAGAAAACUUAUGAUCGAAUAAAUCAUGAGGUUGACGGUACCUUGAUAAGAAGCACCGGCUAACUACGUGCCAGCAGCCGCGGUAAUACGUAGGGUGCGAGCGUUAAUCGGAAUUACUGGGCGUAAAGCGUGCGCAGGCGGUUUUGUAAGUCGGAUGUGAAAUCCCCGGGCUCAACCUGGGAACUGCGUUCGAAACUGCAAGGCUAGAGUGUGUCAGAGGGGGGUAGAAUUCCACGUGUAGCAGGUGAAAUGCGUAGGAGAUGUGGAGGAAUACCAAUGGCGAAGGCA
rnacentral:rRNA from 1 species